GGAUGUGAGGGCCAUCUGGCUGUGACAUCUGUCACCCCACUGAUGGCCAGGGUUGAUUCGACUGCUCUGGCUGGUGAGGCGGGUGUCCCCUUCCUUCCUCACCGCUCCAUGUGCAUCCCUCCCAAAGCUGCGCGCUCGGUCCAAGAGGACCACCAUCCCUAAUAGAGGAGGACCAGUCUUCCGUCAAGGGUAUACAAGUAGCUGGCACUCCCCUGCUAGAACCUCCAAACAAGCUCUCAAGGUCCAAAAUCAUAUGUAGAUGACUGAACUAUAGAAGAUAAUUGUUCCCAAUUGAUAGUGUGAUUUUAGGAAUUUAA
ensembl:misc_RNA 7SK 7SK RNA